CCACCACCAAAGCAUUCUCUGGUGUUGAAGGCCCUGCAAAGCAGCAUCGCGGUGGCGGAGCGUCGUUUGCGACGCCCAACACACAAAACAAGCGGUGAGUGCUUUGGGGUGGGGUGACUGCGUACCUUUUGUAUAAUGGGUCAGCGACUUAUAUUCUGUAGCAAGGUUAACCGAAUAGGGGAGCCGCAGGGAAACCGAGUCUUAAUUGGGCGUUAAGUUGCAGGGUAUAGACCCGAAACCCGGUGAUCUAGCCAUGGGCAGGUUGAAGGUUGGGUAACACUAACUGGAGGACCGAACCGACUAAUGUUGAAAAAUUAGCGGAUGACCUGUGGCUGGGGGUGAAAGGCCAAUCAAACCGGGAGAUAGCUGGUUCUCCCCGAAAGCUAUUUAGGUAGCGCCUCGUGAAUUCAUCUCCGGGGGUAGAGCACUGUUUCGGCUAGGGGGCCAUCCCGGCUUACCAACCCGAUGCAAACUGCGAAUACCGGAGAAUGUUAUCACGGGAGACACACGGCGGGUGCUAACGUCCGUCGUGAAGAGGGAAACAACCCAGACCGCCAGCUAAGGUCCCAAAGUCAUGGUUAAGUGGGAAACGAUGUGGGAAGGCCCAGACAGCCAGGAUGUUGGCUUAGAAGCAGCCAUCAUUUAAAGAAAGCGUAAUAGCUCACUGGUCGAGUCGGCCUGCGCGGAAGAUGUAACGGGGCUAAACCAUGCACCGAAGCUGCGGCAGCGAACGUAUCACUUAAAGCGAUUCAGCGGGUUACGAUUGACGGAGCGAAGCGACGUCAAAGCGUAUACAAAGUCGAGUCGGUUUAAGGAUACGUUCGUUGGGUAGGGGAGCGUUCUGUAAGCCUGUGAAGGUGGCCUGUGAGGG
rnacentral:rRNA from 1 species